rnacentral:lncRNA from 1 species
CCUAGCCUGGGAACUUCCAUAUGCCAUGGGUACAGCCCUAAAAAGAACAAAAAAAAAAAGGCUUUUUAGGGCUUUUCCAGCUGUAUUUGGAAGUUCUCAGGUUAGGGGUCAAAUUGGAGUUGCAGCUGCAGGCCUAUACUACAGCCACAGCAAUGAGGGAUCCAAACCUCAUCUUCAACCUACACCACAGCUCAAGGCAACAAGGGAUCCCGACCCACUGAGAACUAACUUAGCAAGGCCAGGGAUCAAACCUACAUUCAAAUGUCAGAUUCGCUUCUGCUGAGCCACAAAGGGAACUCCCAAACUUUUGACUUAGUUGAUUUUCUCUGUUAUUAGUCCAUUUCCUACUUCAUUGAUGUCCUCUCUUACCUUUAUUACUUAUUCAUCCUCUCUUUGUUUAAGGUAGAAACUUAGAUUUUUUAUUCUUACAUUUUUCUUAUUUUCUAGUAAUCAUGUAAAGUUACUGAUUUUUCUCUAAACACUGCCUUAAUUACAUCUUAAAAAAUUUUUUGUAUUUUGUAUGUUCAUUAUCACUUGUUCAAAAUAUUUUCUAAUAUCCCUAGUGAUUUAUUCUUUGGCCUAUGGGCUUACUUCAUAUAUUUGGGGUGGGGGGUAUAGGUAUUAUAUUUCUGUUGAUUUCUAGCAAAUCUAUGUGGUCAGAAAAUACACUCCAUAUGAUUUCAGUAAAUUGGCAUUUAUUGAUACCUCUUUCAUAGCACAGAAUGUGAUCUAUCUUAAUGAAGGUUCCAUAUGCAUUUGAAAAGAAUAUUUUCUGCAGUUGUUGAGUACUAUGUGCUAUAAAUGACAUAUUAGGGCAUGAUGAUUGGUAAUGUUCAAGCCUUCUAUAUGUUCACCAGUUUUUGUCUACCUAUUUUCUAGCAAUUCUUUUAUCUUCAUAAAAUAUCUUUAUCUCUAGUAAUACUAUUCCUUUUGAGGUCACUUUGAUGACUAGUAUUUUCACAUCAGCUUUCUUACAUGGUUUUCAACCUUUAUCUUUUCCAUUUUUUUACUUUCAGACUGCCUCUGUCUUGUAAAUAGCAUAUCGGUAGAUCUUGCUUUUGUUCCAUUGUGAAGAUCUCUGCAGUUUACUUGGAGUUUUUAGUCCAUUUCCAAUUAAUGUGAUUAUCGAUAUGUUUGAGUUUAACUCUUCCGUCUUGAUAUCUGAUAUUUAUCUCAUCCAUUUGUUUCUCUUUUCUUCCUUGCUGGCUUUCUCUUAAGGGAAUCGCAUGUUUUAAUAUUUCAUUUUACCUUCUAUAUUCAGAUCUUCUAUACCUUUACUAAUUUUUGUUUCUUUUUUUUAUUCAGUAGGUAAACAUUCUGAGAGAGGGAUAUUCAUCUCCAUAUUACCAACCAUAAUAGUACAUUUAUUUCUCCUUUCACUCCUGUCAGUGUUACUUCUUGUAUUUGAAGUUUCUUUUCAUUAGAUGCACAUACACUUAGGAUAUUUAUGUUUUUCUAAUGAUUUAAUCUUUUUAUCAUAAUAAAAGUCCUCUUUAUCUCUGAUGAUACUCUUUGUCUUGGAGUCUACCUUAGUAGUAUUAAUAUAGCCACACCAGCUAUUUAAAGCUUAUAAUUAGCAUGUUGCUUGUAUUUCCCCCAUCACUUUCAUCCUAUUUGUGUUUAUAUCUAAAGUGAUUUUCUGUAGACAACAUAUAGUUUCAUCUUACUUUUUUAUUUAGUCUAGUAAGUUAUGCCUUUUAAUUGGUGUUUGUCAACUAAAAAUUACAUGUUACAUUAUGUAAUCACUGAUAUGUUUGAAUUUACAUCUACUUCCUUUACUUCUUUUCUGUAUUUUUCUUCCUUUUUUUUUUGUUCCUCUGUUGCUUCUUUUCUGCUCUUCUUGUAGUUUUUUUUUAAUGUUUUUAAUAUUUAUUUCCUUUGUUUACUUUUAAAGCUAUACUUCUUUGCAUUUUAGUAGUUGUUUUAGACUUACAAUACAUAUCCUUAACCCAUCACAGUCUACUUAUAAUUAAUGUUGCAUUAUUUCGUGUAAGCUCUACAAAAGUACAACCAUUUAACUUCGUUUAUUGCUUCCGCCAUCUUUUGUAGCAGUCUUAUCAUAUAUUUUAUUUCUACAUACAUUAUAAGCCCUAUAAUAUCAUGUUGUAGUUCUUAUUCUAGACAGUAUAUUUUAAAGAAAUUGAAAGAAGGAAAAUAUUUUCUAUUUAGCCUCAUAUUUACUAUUUCAGUGCUCUUUACUUAUUAUAGAUCUGAGUUUCCAUCUACUGUUUUUGCACUUAUUUAGAGAGUUCUGGAGAGAGUUUGUGGAUAAGUUAACGAUUGAUAACUAGAAAACUAAGUAAAUACACAAACAAAAAUAUUUGUCAGCUCUGGGAAACUAAGAGUUCUACAGAAAGGAAAUGCAAUCAGAUCAUAUUACGUGGCUCAACUGGGAAUAGUGUUUUUACACUGAAUAUUGCCAUAACCACAAACUCUGAUUCUAUGCAAACUCUGAUUUUAAGCCCUUAAUCUUUCUUAGUGGGAAAUUGAUAAUGUCUAGACAGUGAAAGAAUGCUCAAUCCAAGCCAUAUGAUCAGAACUUGGGUCUGCCAGCCAGCUGUAGUUUCCUGCCCUCACACACACAGAUUUAAUUCAAUAAUGGGAUCAGUAUCACUGCGGUGGAAUCCUCUAGUGCUUACCAAUUGUGUGUUUAGGGCAAAGUACUUAAACUCUGAGGUUUUUGCCCCACUUUUUAAAAUGUUAAUAACUCUGUUACCUUAUAGGAAUGUUGUGAGGGUCGAAUGAUGGAGUAGGUGUGAAUGCAGCUCUCACAAUGACACAUGUGCAGGCACAUACUUCGCUCCAGAGCACAGUAGCUCUCAUUACCACCGCAGGAUCAAUCAGUAGCUCAAACAUCAACUCGUCUAAGUUUAAGGAAACUUGCUUUUUUAGAGAAUCAUUUGGAGUUCCUGUCAUGGCUCAGCAGAAACGAAUCUGACUAGCAUCCAUGAAGUUCGAUCCCUGGCCUUGCUCAGUGGGUUAAGGAUCCAGAGUUGCCAUGAGCUGUGGUGUAUGUAGGUCACAGACAUGGCUCGGAUCUGGCAUGGCUGUGGCUGUGGCCAUGGCAUAGGCCAGCAGCUGUAGCUCCGAUUACACCCCUAGCCUGGGAACUUCCAUAUGCCAUGGGUGUGGCCCUAAAAAGACCAAAAAAAAAAAAAA